UUUUUUUGCUUUGUCUUUCCCUUUAUUUCUUCACUUCUUAUCUCAUCACCAACGACCCACAAGACACAAGUUCCAAAUCCAACGUUGUUUCUCAUUCCUCUUCAACCCAAAACAAUCUAGGGUUGUUGAAAAAUCUAAAGGUAACUUUCGACCCUUACGAAGCUGAUUUCUUCUUCGUCCCCGUUUACGUUUCCUGGCAACUUCAGCACCGUGAACGGUUUCCCAGCGAUUGGACAUUGCACGCGCUCUUAUCACCUCCGCCGUUGAAACUCGUCUCCACCGAAUAUCCAUUCUGGAACAAAAGCAGCGGAUCCGACCAUGUCUUCGUAGCUUCUCAUGAUUUCGGUGCAUGUUUUCAUACCCUGGAGGAUAAUGCAAUGAAAGAUGGCAUUCCGGGAAUAUUGAAGAAUUCGAUUGUAUUGCAGACGUUUGGAGUUGAGUAUAAACAUCCUUGUCAGGAGGUUGAGAAUGUGGUUAUUCCACGUAUGUUUCGCCGGAGAAAAUAUGGAGAACGCUUGAGAAAGCUCCGGUCAACGGCCGGCGAGAUAUUUGGGCUUUCUUUAGAGGAAAAAUGGAAGUUCAUCCUAAAAACGCGAGUGAGGACAGAGAUAUGGAGAAAAUUUCAAUGGUGA